GCUACCAUGCUGUAAUUGGCAGCCAGCCUAGUCUGAGAAGCUAGGGCCGAAAGGCGUGUGGGUUCGAGUCCCUCUGGUAGCACCA
rnacentral:tRNA from 1 species